rnacentral:rRNA from 1 species
GAUGAACGCUGGCGGCGUGCCUAAUACAUGCAAGUCGAGCGAACAGACGAGGAGCUUGCUCCUCUGACGUUAGCGGCGGACGGGUGAGUAACACGUGGAUAACCUACCUAUAAGACUGGGAUAACUUCGGGAAACCGGAGCUAAUACCGGAUAAUAUAUUGAACCGCAUGGUUCAAUAGUGAAAGACGGUUUUGCUGUUACUUAUAGAUGGAUCCGCGCCGCAUUAGCUAGUUGGUAAGGUAACGGCUUACCAAGGCGACGAUGCGUAGCCGACCUGAGAGGGUGAUCGGCCACACUGGAACUGAGACACGGUCCAGACUCCUACGGGAGGCAGCAGUAGGGAAUCUUCCGCAAUGGGCGAAAGCCUGACGGAGCAACGCCGCGUGAGUGAUGAAGGUCUUCGGAUCGUAAAACUCUGUUAUUAGGGAAGAACAAAUGUGUAAGUAACUAUGCACGUCUUGACGGUACCUAAUCAGAAAGCCACGGCUAACUACGUG